CACUCUUGUUUCUUUUCAGAAUGGUAAAAGUUUUUUACUUUUUACUAAAGAUUUCCAUGGAGAGAAAUCUUGGAGAAUUGGUGAGUUAUUUGAGACCUUGCUUGGGUAAAGCUC
ensembl:snRNA U5 U5 spliceosomal RNA